UACGUAGGGGGCGAGCGUUGUCCGGAUUCAUUGGGCGUAAAGAGCUCGUAGGCGGCUUGGCAAGUCGGGUGUGAAAACUCCAGGCUCAACCUGGAGACGCCACCCGAUACUGCCAUGGCUUGAGUCCGGUAGGGGACCACGGAAUUCCUGGUGUAGCGGUGAAAUGCGCAGAUAUCAGGAGGAACACCGGUGGCGAAGGCGGUGGUCUGGGCCGGUACUGACGCUGAGGAGCGAAAGCGUGGGGAGCGAACAGG
rnacentral:rRNA from 1 species